rnacentral:rRNA from 1 species
AUUGAACGCUGGCGGCAGGCCUAACACAUGCAAGUCGAGCGGAUGAAGGGAGCUUGCUCCUGGAUUCAGCGGCGGACGGGUGAGUAAUGCCUAGGAAUCUGCCUGGUAGUGGGGGAUAACGUCCGGAAACGGGCGCUAAUACCGCAUACGUCCUGAGGGAGAAAGUGGGGGAUCUUCGGACCUCACGCUAUCAGAUGAGCCUAGGUCGGAGUAGCUAGUUGGUGGGUUAAAGGCCUACCAAGGCGACGAUCCGUAACUGGUCUGAGAGGAUGAUCAGUCACACUGGAACUGAGACACGGUCCAGACUCCUACGGGAGACAGCAGUGGGGAAUAUUGGACAAUGGGCGAAAGCCUGAUCCAGCCAUGCCGAGUGUGUGAAGAAGGUCUUCGGAUUGUAAAGCACUUUAAGUUGGGAGGAAGGGCAGUAAGUUAAUACCUUGCUGUUUUGACGUUACCAACAGAAUAAGCACCGGCUAACUUCGUG